rnacentral:rRNA from 1 species
UCGGGAAUUUUGCUCAAUGGGCGAAAGCCUGAAGCAGCAACGCCGCGUGAGGGAUGAAUGCCUUCGGGUUGUAAACCUCUUUUACCAGGGACGAUGAUGACGGUACCUGAUGAAUAAGUCACGGCUAACUACGUGCCAGCAGCCGCGGUAAUACGUAGGUGACCAGCGUUGUCCGGAUUUACUGGGCGUAAAGAGCGCGCAGGCGGUCGUUCAAGUCGAGUGUGAAAGCCCCCGGCUCAACUGGGGAGGGUCAUUCGAUACUGAUCGACUGGAAGGCAGGAGAGGGAAGCGGAAUUCCCGGUGUAGUGGUGAAAUGCGUAGAUAUCGGGAGGAACACCAGUGGCGAAGGCGGCUUCCUGGCCUGUUCUUGACGCUGAGGCGCGAAAGCUAGGGGAGCAAACG